GAGACGAUUUUUUAAACAUAAUUAGUGCAUGAUUGGACACAAAUUACCAAAUAAAACGAAAAUACUACAGUAAUUAAUAAAUUUUAACACCCCCAACCAAACACUCCCUUUAUUUGCUCUAGGACAAUGUGUGAAUAUAUUUCAUUAUCUCGAAAUCAAUUUAUGAAAGUGCAUAGUGCCACUAAAUUUUUCUACAAAUUUUCACUCCUGCCAAUUUUAUAAGGAUAUGUCUAUCCGUUGCUCGGCUGUUUUGGCUCCGAGAGCACUCCAAAUUUUUUCUUCGCCGUCUUCUUUCUCUUGACGUGCCACCGCUGCCACCACCAUCCCGCCGCGACACAUGUUCCAAUUAAAUGGUGAAUUAUGUCUACAUUCUCUAUUUCUCAAAGCCAUUUAAAAACCACUAGUCUCAUCUUUAACUAGAUGGCAAGUGAAUUCCAAUUCAUUCUUAGGCCCUAUUUAUGACAGCUCCAAAAGACUCUAGCUCUUUGCUAUAGUAUGCGGAGGAAUAGGAGUCGGUGAAGCAAAAAAUAGUUGCUUCAUCAACUCUUAGUUCCUUUUGUGAGAGAAAAAAGAAAAAUGGUUUCUUGCUACAAAUACACGGGGAGUUAAAACCUGAGCCUCAAGAGCUAUCAAACCAGACCUUAGACUAUAUGCUAUAUAUAAAUAUGGUUCGCCUAAACGGUCGUUUAGACCAUUUAAACACCGUAUAAACGUUACACAGUGGUACACCGUUUUUGUUUAAUAAUCUAUUUAGCCCGUUUAAUUGACCGUUUAGCCCGUUUAAUAGACUUUAGCCCGAAUAAUGACUAAACGGCAGGUGACCGACUGUUUACCGUUUAGCGUUUAGAAAAACAGAAUGUCUAUUAAUAUUUGAACAAAAGAGACUAGUACUUUGUUCUACUUUCCGGGAGGGAGAGUUGGUAAAGUGGACAUAUUUUGCGAGUAUAUGUUUAUUUUAGAGUACACGAAACAUAUAUACCGAGGUUAAAGUUCAAAGAUUUACAACGACCUUCUUUCUCCUUUUUUUAUUGUGUAUCCAAGGGUGGAAACAGCCAAAAAUGAGUCAGUGUCACUAAUAAAACGAUAAAGGUAAGCUAAAGAUGCAAAUGAUUUCGUCAGGAUUGACUGACCCUUGUGACAAUAUAUUUGUCAAUUCUUACGUCAUAGGAUUUUGACUACAUAAUAUAAUAUAAUGUUGGACUGUGAACGCUACGGAAGUUUUACAUUUUUAUCUUGAUGGUUCACGCUCUUUUAAAAAAAACUAUGGAUAUAUAAUGAGUAUACUUUUGCGGGAAUAUAAUCGACUUUGUUGUGAGGUAUAAUGCGGAUUUGAGAAGGAAAUAUACAUUAUAUUAUGAAGUCAAAAUCCUAUGACGUCCUUAGCAAACAUCUACUACAUGAGUGGCGUGAUGAUCCACACAACAUAAAUAGAAAAAUCCCGUGCCCUUCAUUAUUGGUGGCGCCCCUGACAUCAAAACAAAUCAUAGAAAAAGUAUUUGCGGUAAGAACAUGCAGACAUGCUCCCAGAUUUAAUAAUGCGAAAACUGCAGUAGUAAACUCUUCGCAUAGAAGUCUACUCUGUCCCGUGCAAUGCAUCGAUCUUUUCUUUGUUUGUUUUUUUGUUUUUUUUUUGGCAGAUUGCUCGGUUUCUCGUGGCCAUUAUGCACUUGGAGGAACUGAUGUCAGUCCUUGCUACAUUAGUC
rnacentral:lncRNA from 1 species